CAGACAAUAAUAGAACACACUGU
rnacentral:siRNA from 1 species